rnacentral:rRNA from 1 species
AUGAGAGUGGCCGUGCCCCUCGCCUCGCUCCUCGCCGUGCUCCUCCUGGUCGCCGCGGCGUGCGCGGGGAGGGAGGAGGAGGAGGACCCGGAGGUGACGGCGUGCAAGCAGCAGUGCGCGGGGCAGCGGCAGUUCGGCGCGGAGGAGCGGCGGUACUGCGUGGCGGCAUGCGACGAGUACGGCCGGAUGAAGAGGCGCCGGGAGGAGGAUGAGGGUCGCCGCAGCACGGAGAAGGAGCGCGACCGGUGCCUGCACGAGUGCCGCGCCGGCCCGCGCAAACCGGGCUGCGAGCAGAGGUGCAUCGACGAGUACGAGCGGGCCACCCACCAAGGCACCAAGACGGACGACGCCUGA